rnacentral:rRNA from 1 species
AUUGAACGCUGGCGGCAUGCUUUACACAUGCAAGUCGAACGGCAGCGCGGGCUUCGGGCUGGCGGCGAGUGGCGAACGGGGGAGUAAUGCAUCGGAGUGUGCCCAGUAGUGGGGGGUAGUCCGGCGAAAGCAGGGUUAAUACUGCAGACGAGCUGAGGGUGAAAGCGGGGGAGCGAAAGGCCGUGCGCUAUGUGAGCGGCCGAUGUGGGAUUAGUCAGUUGGUGGGGUAAGGGCUUACCAAGGCGACGAUCCGUAGCUGGUCGGAGCGGACGACAGACCACAUUGUGAGUGAGACACGGCCAAGACUCCUACGGGAGGCAGCAGUGGGGAAUGUUGGACAAUGGGGGCAACCCUGAUCCAGCCAUGCCGCGUGCGGGAAGAAGGCCUUCCGGUUGUAAAGCGCUUUUGUUCGGGAAGAAACGCUCUGGGCUAAUACGCCGCGGGGAUGACGGUACCGGAAGAAUAAGCACCGGCUAACUACGUG